GCCAGUGUGGCGUAAUGAUUAGAAUGUUGGACUACGACUCUGGAGACCAAGGGUCGAUUCCCAGCUUUGGCU